GUGGGGAAUUUUGCGCAAUGGGCGUAAGCCUGACGCAGCAACGCCGCGUGAGUGAUGAAGGUCUUCGGAUCGUAAAGCUCUGUCGGCAGGAACGAUGCUUUCGCUGGCUAAUAUCCAGCGGAACUGACGGUACCUGCAAAGGAAGCACCGGCCAACUCUGUGCCAGCAGCCGCGGUAAGACAGAGGGUGCAAGCGUUGUUCGGAAUCAUUGGGCGUAAAGGGCGCGUAGGCGGCUUGGCAAGUCGGAUGUGAAAUCCCCGGGCUUAACCCUGGAAGUGCAUCUGAUACUGCUUGGCUUGAGUGCCGGAGGGGGUGGUGGAAUUCCCAGUGUAGAGGUGAAAUUCGUAGAUAUUGGGAGGAACACCUGUGGCGAAGGCGACCACCUGGACGGACACUGACGCUGAGGCGCGAAAGCGUGGGGAGCAAACAGGAUUAGAAACCCUAGUAGUCC
rnacentral:rRNA from 1 species